rnacentral:rRNA from 1 species
GACGAACGCUGGCGGCGUGGAUUAGGCAUGCAAGUCGAACGGUAUCAUCCUUUCGGGGGUGAGAGAGUGGCGAACUGGUGAGUAACACGUAGGUUAUCUACCCUCAAGACGGGGACAACCCAGGGAAACUUGGGCUAAUACCGGAUGUGAGCAACUUUUAGUUGUUUGAAAGGUGGCGUAAGCUGUCGCUUGGGGAUGAGCCUGCGUCCUAUUAGUUAGUUGGUGAGGUAACGGCUCACCUAGGCAAUGAUAGGUAGGCGGCCUUAACGGGUGGUCGCCCACACUGGGAUUGAGAUACGGCCCAGACUCCUACGGGAGGCAGCAGUCGAGAAUAGUCUACAAUGGCCGAAAGGCUGAUAGUGCGACGCCGCGUGAACGAAGAAGCCCUUCGGGUGUAAAGUUCUUUUAUAUGUGAGCAGUGCUUUCUAUGUGAACAGCAUGGGGAGAGAGAUAUUAGCAUAUGAAUAAGCAACGGCUAACUCCGUGCCAGCAGCCGCGGU